rnacentral:rRNA from 1 species
UACGUAGGGACCAAGCGUUGUUCGGAUUUACUGGGCGUAAAGGGCGCGUAGGCGGCAAUUCAAGUCAGCUGUGAAAUCUCCGGGCUUAACUCGGAACGGUCAGCUGAUACUGCUUUGCUAGAGUGCAGAAGGGGCAAUCGGAAUUCUUGGUGUAGCGGUGAAAUGCGUAGAUAUCAAGAGGAACACCUGAGGUGAAGACGGGUUGCUGGGCUGACACUGACGCUGAGGCGCGAAAGCUAGGGGUAGCAAACGGG